AUUGAACGCUGGCGGCAGGCCUAACACAUGCAAGUCGAGCGGAUGAAGGGAGCUUGCUCCUGGAUUCAGCGGCGGACGGGUGAGUAAUGCCUAGGAAUCUGCCUGGUAGUGGGGGAUAACGUCCGGAAACGGGCGCUAAUACCGCAUACGUCCUGAGGGAGAAAGUGGGGGAUCUUCGGACCUCACGCUAUCAGAUGAGCCUAGGUCGGAUUAGCUAGUUGGUGGGGUAAAGGCCUACCAAGGCGACGAUCCGUAACUGAUCUGAGAGGAUGAUCAGUCACACUGGAACUGAGACACGGUCCAGACUCCUACGGGAGGCAGCAGUGGGGAAUAUUGGACAAUGGGCGAAAGCCUGAUCCAGCCAUGCCGCGUGUGUGAAGAAGGUCUUCGGAUUGUAAAGCACUUUAAGUUGGGAGGAAGGGCAGUAAGUUAAUACCUUGCUGUCUUGACGUUACCAACAGAAUAAGCACCGGCUAACUUCGUG
rnacentral:rRNA from 1 species